rnacentral:lncRNA from 1 species
CAACACAGAGCAAAACUCACCGCCGCAGUGUGACUUCCAGUCCACGCGAUCCGCUUCCUGGUCCGGGCGAAUCUACAAGCACAGGACAGAAGCCAGGCCUCCGUGGAGCCAACGAGUACCUGUUUUAAGAAAAAAAACAACAAGGAAGUAAAACCGAAGACAGGCAGCCCUGCGCCACGCCCAAAACCAGGCCUGGGCCUGCCUGGCCUAAACCCAAUAGUUAAAAAUCAACUCAUAACUUAGAAACCAAUGUUUUUCAUAGAUUCCAGACAUUGUAUAGAAGAACAUUAUGAAACUCCCUGCCCUGUUCUGUUUCUCUCUACCAGUGCACGAAACCCCUGUGUAUAUAUCUGGGACUGUAGUCCCUGUUACGUAUCCCCUAGAUUGCUCAAUCACGACCCUUUUAUGUGAAAUCUUUAGUGUUGUGAGCCCUUAAAAGGGACAGAAAUUGUGCACCCGGGGAGCUCGGAUUUUAAGGCAGCUUGCCGAUGCUCCCAGCUGAAUAAAGCCCUUCCUUCUACAA